GAUGAACGCUGGCGGCGUGCCUAAUACAUGCAAGUCGAGCGAACAGAUAAGGAGCUUGCUCCUUUGACGUUAGCGGCGGACGGGUGAGUAACACGUGGGUAACCUACCUAUAAGACUGGGAUAACUUCGGGAAACCGGAGCUAAUACCGGAUAAUAUUUCGAACCGCAUGGUUCGAUAGUGAAAGAUGGUUUUGCUAUCACUUAUAGAUGGACCCGCGCCGUAUUAGCUAGUUGGUAAGGUAACGGCUUACCAAGGCGACGAUACGUAGCCGACCUGAGAGGGUGAUCGGCCACACUGGAACUGAGACACGGUCCAGACUCCUACGGGAGGCAGCAGUAGGGAAUCUUCCGCAAUGGGCGAAAGCCUGACGGAGCAACGCCGCGUGAGUGAUGAAGGUCUUCGGAUCGUAAAACUCUGUUAUUAGGGAAGAACAUACGUGUAAGUAACUGUGCACGCCUUGACGGUACCUAAUCAGAAAGCCACGGCUAACUACGUG
rnacentral:rRNA from 1 species